UUCCGCGUGCGAGCCGCGUCCGCGUGCGAGCCGCGUUCGCGUGUGAAGCCGCGCCGCGCGCUUCUGCGUAGCCGAGCCGCGUCUCCCCCUGUUGCAAGCCGAGCCGCACGCGUGAACCCCUGUGUCAAAGCCGAGCCGCGCCUGCGCCAAGCCGAGCCGGUCCCUGUCCUCUUCCAGCCGAGCCGCCAAGACCAAUUUGGCUCCAUCCACCUACAUUUUGGGCGUCUUGGACCGAGUGACCGGUGCGGCGAGAGACUCUCUUCAGUAGGGACUCAUCCACUGCAACCUUUUCUGGGGAUCCCGUUGCUUGGAAAGCACACGUGUCUUGCGGUUAGGACUCGUCGGGUGAAUCUCCAGGGAGAAUGCCGCCACGUAGAGGUGCACGCCGAGGAGGUGGUAGGGGAGGCAGAGGUGCCGGUCGUGGCCAGCCGGAGGCGCCACCUGCUGCACCGGCAGUCGACCCAAAUGCACCGGUCACCCAGGCGGAUCUCGCCGCGAUGGAGCGGCGCU